UUUAUUGAAACUUGAAUGAAGGUUUAACACACAAUUUUUAUUUUUAGAUUUUUUAUUAAUUUACAUUUUACGUAAAAAUGCGUAAAUUAUUUAAAGGGACGAUAAGACCCUAAAAGCUUUAUUCUUAAAGAGUAAUUUUUUAUAGUUUUUAUUUUGAUUCUUAUGUUAAGGGUUUGGCUGGGGCAGUGUUUUUUGUAAACAAAAUAAUUUGUUUACUAGUAGGUUAAAGGGUCCUUUUUAUAGGGAUAAUUAGUUUUAGUUACUUUAGGGAUAACAGCGCGAUAAUAGUGGGGAGACCUCAUUUAUACUAUUGAUUGUGACCUCGAUGUUGGAUUAAUUUUCUUUUUAAAGCAGAAAUUAUUUUUUGAAAGUUUGUUCAACUUUUAAAUUAUUACAUGAUCUGAGUUCAAA
rnacentral:rRNA from 1 species